UUACAAUUCGCUUACGUGGCUAUAUCUAUAUAUAGACCAAUUUAAAGUCGUGUAAACUAGUGAAGUAAAACUUUUAUAAUUAUUAUCUAUCAAUCAAUGGAAUAACAUUUAACUAUAUAUAAGUUCGUGACAGCUGAUGACAGCAGUCGUAUAAUAGAGUAAGAAAGGUCUCAAGUUUAAAGAUGACGUCAAAAUUAAGAUUUGAAAAUAAAGUGGCCAUUGUGACUGGAGGAUGUAAAGGCAUUGGGAGAGGGUGUGUCGAUGUAUUCGUUGAAAAUGGAGGCAAAGUUGCCGUAUUUGAUAUCGACGAUGCGGUUGGUCAAACAAUGAAGCCAGAUGGUACAGGAGAGGUGCUUUUCAUCCACUGCGACAUGACAAAAGAAGAUGAAAUCAAGUAUGCCUUACCCUAUAUAAGACAAACCCAAGGGUCAAUUGUAAACAUAUCAAGCGGGGCAUUCAUAGCGGGCCAAGAUUAAGCUGUGACAUAUGUUGCAACGAAGGGUGGAGUGGUCGGAUUAACUCGAGCAUUGGCAACGGACGAAGGAAAACAUGGUGUUCGGGUUAAUGCAAUAUCACCUGGGGCGGUCAGGACACCUUUGCUGGAAGAAUGCAUUAAAUUGACAGGUGAUUUACAAAGUGUUUUGGAAAUCUGCAAAAAACAAACGGUGUUACGCCGUGUCGCUGAGCCCCGAGAUAUAGGUCAAACAUGUUUAUUUUUAGCAGCGGAAGCAACUUUUACAACCGGUGAAGACUUGAGUUGUACUGCUGGCGCUGAAAGAGGGUAUGGACUCAAAUAUUAAUAAGAAGGGAGUAUGGACUGAGACGCGACAUAUAUGGAUGUGGACUAAAAGAUAACUGAAAUGGUCUGAACUAAAACAUAUUACAUAUAAAAUUGACUCAUAAUAACUAAAGAUAAAUAUGAAAAACUUUUACCAAAGAAUAUUAAACUAGUACAUAUGAUGUAUGUAUGAACUGUGAUGUCACAAGAACUAAAAAGUAUAUGGAAUAAAGUGACGCAACAGAUAUAAAUAUUGACACUCAUAUCAGUAGCAUACCAUCUACGGACUGAACUGUAAAACAGGUAAAUUAACUCAAGAUUUUAAUAUGAAAACUGAAAUAAAGAUAUUACAAAAAAUG